CCAGACUCCUACGGGAGGCAGCAGCCGGGAAUAUUCGGCAAUGGGCGAAAGCCUGACCGAGCGACACCGCGUGAGCGACGAAGGCCUUCGGGUCGUAAAGCUCUUUUAUUUGGGAAGAAUGCAUAGUAAUAUGUUUGACGGUACCAUUUGAAUAAGCCCCAGCUAACUACGUGCGAGCAGCUGCGGUAAUAACGUAGGGGGCAAGCCGUAAUCCGGAAAUCACUGUGCGUAAAGGGUCCGCAGGUGUCCCGUUAAGUUAGAUGGUAAAUCGCAAAGCUCAACCCUGCCGGCUGCAUCUAAUACUGACAGGAUAGAGGAUAGGUGACGGAAGUGGAAUUCCUGGUGGAGAGGUAAAAUCCGUAGAUAUCAGGAGGAACACCCGUGGCGUAGGCGGCUUCCGAACCUAUUCCUGACACUCAGGGACGAAAGCUAGGGGAGCAAACAGGAUUAGAUACCCUGGUAGUCCUAGCUGUAAACGAUGAAUACUAGAUAGUGGGUGCUACACCGUACUCACCGUCGUAGCUAACGCGUUAAGUAUUUCGCCUGGGAACUACGAUCGCAAGUUUGAAACUCAAAGGAAUUGACGGGUCCCCGCACAAGCAGCGAGGCAUGUGGCUUAAUUCGAUGCAACACGAAGAACCUUACCUGGACUUGACAUGUUUCUGAAAGGCCGGAGAAACCCGGUCCCUUCCAGUUUACUGGAACAGUUUCACAGGUGGUGCAUGGUUGUCGUCAGCUCGUGUCGUGAGAUGUAAGGUUAAGUCCUUAAACGAGCGUAACCUUUGUCAUUAGUUGCCACCGGUUCGGCCGAGCACUCUAAUGAGACCGCUAGCGACAAGCUCGCGGAAGAUGGAGAUGACGUCAAAUCCUCACGUCCCUUAUGUCCAGGGCCGCACACAUGCGACAAUGGUAGAGACAGCGGGUUGCGACGGGGUAACCCUGAGCUAAUCCAUAAACUCUGCCUCAGUACAGAUCGAGGGCUGAAAUUCGACCUCGUGAAGAUGGAGUUGCUAGUAAACGCAGGUCAGCUCUACCGCGUUGAAUACGUUCCCNGGGGAUUGUACACACCGCCCGUCACACCACCCGAGUCGUGUGCACCCGAAGUCGGAUACCCUAACCUUUGGAAGGGUCUGCCGAAGGUG
rnacentral:rRNA from 1 species